rnacentral:rRNA from 1 species
CAGAGGCCCCAAGCGUUACUGAGAAUCACUGGGUUUAAAGGGUGCGUAGGUGGCGCGUUAAGUCCGUUGUGAAAGCCCUGGGCUCAACCCAGGAACUGCUUCGGAUACUGGCGCGCUUGAGGCUAGUAGGGGUUACUGGAACUGACGGUGGAGCGGUGAAAUGCGUAGAUAUCGUCAGGAACGCCAAUGGUGAAGACAGGUAACUGGGCUAGUUCUGACACUGAGGCACGAAAGCGUGGGGAGCGAACGGGAUUAGAUACCCCGGUAGUCCACGCCCUAAACGAUGCAGACUAGACUGCAGCGGGUUACACCCCGUUGCGGUCGGAGCGAAAUUGUUAAGUCUGCCACCUGGGAAGUACGGUCGCAAGGCUA